AGAGUUUGAUCCUGGCUCAGGACGAACGCUGGCGGCGCGCCUAACACAUGCAAGUCGAACGAGCGAGAGAGAGCUUGCUUUCUCGAGCGAGUGGCGAACGGGUGAGUAACGCGUGAGGAACCUGCCUCAAAGAGGGGGACAACAGUUGGAAACGACUGCUAAUACCGCAUAAGCCCACAGGUCGGCAUCGACCAGAGGGAAAAGGAGCAAUCCGCUUUGAGAUGGCCUCGCGUCCGAUUAGCUAGUUGGUGAGGUAACGGCCCACCAAGGCAACGAUCGGUAGCCGGACUGAGAGGUUGAACGGCCACAUUGGGACUGAGACACGGCCCAGACUCCUACGGGAGGCAGCAGUGGGGAAUAUUGCACAAUGGGGGAAACCCUGAUGCAGCGACGCCGCGUGGAGGAAGAAGGUCUUCGGAUUGUAAACUCCUGUUGUUGAGGAAGAUAAUGACGGUACUCAACAAGGAAGUGACGGCUAACUACGUGCCAGCAGCCGCGGUAAAACGUAGGUCACAAGCGUUGUCCGGAAUUACUGGGUGUAAAGGGAGCGCAGGCGGGAAGACAAGUUGGAAGUGAAAUCCAUGGGCUCAACCCAUGAACUGCUUUCAAAACUGUUUUUCUUGAGUAGUGCAGAGGUAGGCGGAAUUCCCGGUGUAGCGGUGGAAUGCGUAGAUAUCGGGAGGAACACCAGUGGCGAAGGCGGCCUACUGGGCACCAACUGACGCUGAGGCUCGAAAGUGUGGGUAGCAAACAGGAUUAGAUACCCUGGUAGUCCACACCGUAAACGAUGAUUACUAGGUGUUGGAGGAUUGACCCCUUCAGUGCCGCAGUUAACACAAUAAGUAAUCCACCUGGGGAGUACGACCGCAAGGUUGAAACUCAAAGGAAUUGACGGGGGCCCGCACAAGCAGUGGAGUAU
rnacentral:rRNA from 1 species